UACGAAGGGGGCUAGCGUUGCUCGGAAUCACUGGGCGUAAAGCGCACGUAGGCGGACUCUUAAGUCGGUGGUGAAAGCCUGGAGCUCAACUCCAGAACUGCCUUUUAGACUGCAUCGCUUGAAUCCAGGAGAGGUGAGUGGAAUUCCGAGUGUAGAGGUGAAAUUCGUAGAUAUUCGGAAGAACACCAGUGGCGAAGGCGGCUCACUGGACUGGUAUUGACGCUGAGGUGCGAAAGCGUGGGGAGCAAACAGG
rnacentral:rRNA from 1 species